rnacentral:rRNA from 2 species
UAGGGAAUCUUCGGCAAUGGGGGGAACCCUGACCGAGCAACGCCGCGUGAGUGAAGAAGGUUUUCGGAUCGUAAAGCUCUGUUGUUAAGGAAGAACGAGUGUGAGAAUGGAAAGUUCAUGCUGUGACGGUACUUAACCAGAAAGGGACGGCUAACUACGUGCCAGCAGCCGCGGUAAUACGUAGGUCCCGAGCGUUGUCCGGAUUUAUUGGGCGUAAAGCGAGCGCAGGCGGUUAGAAAAGUCUGAAGUGAAAGGCAGUGGCUCAACCAUUGUAGGCUUUGGAAAGUGUUUAACUUGAGUGCAGAAGGGGAGAGUGGAAUUCCAUGUGUAGCGGUGAAAUGCGUAGAUAUAUGGAGGAACACCGGUGGCGAAAGCGGCUCUCUGGUCUGUAACUGACGCUGAGGCUCGAAAGCGUGGGGAGCGAACAGG